GGCCGUCUAACUCAGUUGGUUAGAGCGUCGUGAUAAGAACGCGAAGGGUUGGGUUCGACUCCCACCAUGGCCA